AGCGAACGCUGGCGGCAGGCCUAACACAUGCAAGUCGAACGAACUCUUCGGAGUUAGUGGCGGACGGGUGAGUAACACGUGGGAACGUGCCUUUAGGUUCGGAAUAACUCAGGGAAACUUGUGCUAAUACCGAAUGUGCCCUUCGGGGGAAAGAUUUAUCGCCUUUAGAGCGGCCCGCGUCUGAUUAGCUAGUUGGUAGUGUAAUGGACUACCAAGGCGACGAUCAGUAGCUGGUCUGAGAGGAUGAUCAGCCACAUUGGGACUGAGACACGGCCCAAACUCCUACGGGAGGCAGCAGUGGGGAAUCUUGCGCAAUGGGCGAAAGCCUGACGCAGCCAUGCCGCGUGAAUGAUGAAGGUCUUAGGAUUGUAAAAUUCUUUCACCGGGGACGAUAAUGACGGUACCCGGAGAAGAAGCCCCGGCUAACUUCGUG
rnacentral:rRNA from 1 species